UUACAUAUAUAUUAUUUAUAAUUCUUUUUAAUAUUCUUUUUAAUAUUUCUUAUUUCAUUUUUAUUUUUUAUUUUUUCUUAUAUAAAUUUUUCAUAUUAAAAAUUUAUUAAUAUACAUUACGAUAUUAAAAACUUAAUUUUAAAAUCUAAUUAAUUGUUAAAUAUCAUUAAAUGAAUUAGAAUUAAAAUAUAUAAAUUUGGCGUGUUUUUGAUCUUUUGUAUCAAUAUUAUUUAUCCGUCAAUUAUUAUUUAUCCGUUUCUUAUUAAUUAGAUUAUAUUAUAUGUUGUAAAAUUUUUAAGAAAAGUUCGAUGAAAAUUUUUUUUAUAAACAUAUAUAAAAUCUAUAUUACAAAUAAAUUAUUUAUCAUAUUUGUUGAAUUAUUGACAAGAAACAAUUUUAUGUGUGGCUGUUAAUGGAAAAACAGGAAUAAACAACACUCUCGUCCUCGAAACUGGUUAAAGCGACUUGAAAAACAUCAUCGAGGCCGCCAUAAUAUUCUUCCUGCCUGAACUUGGCCUACAGUUUUGUGCGCUUGCUACGUUCACUACGUUCAGUGUCGCGUCGUACGUAGAUGGUGACGGUUCGUUGGAAGAGGAUUUUUAGUUAAUGGAAAGUUCACCGGGAAUGUGGAAGUAUAUUUGCGAAUAAAUCUCUUCCUCGCGCUCUACCGAGUGUAGGUGCAUCGAAGAAAGGGAAAAGUAUCGUCAUUCGCAGUUGCAAUCGUACAUUAUGGCAAAUUUAAGACAAACUCCACUGACGUGUAGUGGACAUACUAGACCCGUGGUGCAUCUCGCAUUCUCCGAUAUCACUGAAUCUGGAUAUUAUCUGAUUUCGGCGUGCAAAGAUGGCAAACCUAUGUUACGACAAGGAGAUACUGGAGAUUGGAUUGGAACAUUUGAAGGACAUAAAGGAGCAGUGUGGGGUGUUGCAUUAAAUCCUCAGGCUACGAGAGCUGCUUCAGGUGCUGCAGAUUUUAAUGCUAAAGUUUGGGAUGCAAUAAAAGGAGAAGAAAUUCAUUCGUUUCAACAUAAACAUAUUGUUAAAUCUGUCAACUUUAGUACAGAUUCUAAUUAUUUGUGCACUGGCUCUAACGAGAAACUUGUACGAAUUUAUGAUCUUAACAAACCAGAUGCAGCACCACAAGUUUUCUCAGGUCAUAAAAAUGGUAUCAGACAUGUUACCUUUUUCAAUAAUAAUACUGCAUUAAUUACUUGUGGCGAUGAUAAAACAUUAAGAGUUUGGGAUAGGAAUAGCGGCCAAGAAGUCAAAAGGUUAGAUUUUCCGGCAAUUCCAAAUUCCAUGGAAGUAUCAAGAGAUGGAAAUAUCAUUACCACGACUCAUUCCAACAUAGUUACUUUUUGGAAUAGUAGAGAAUUAACCAAAUUACGCGAAUACACUGCACCAACGCAAAUGAAUAGUGCCAGUUUGCAUCCAGAUUGUAGUAUUUUUGUAUGUGGAGGAGAAGAUUUAAAAAUGUACAAGUUCGAUUAUUCCACGGGCGCGGAAAUUGAAUCAUUUAAAGGACACUUUGGACCUGUGCACUGUGUACGUUUUUCACCGGAUGGUGAAUUAUAUGCUAGUGGUUCAGAGGAUGGUACAUUGAGAUUAUGGCAAACAACCGUUGGCAAAACUUACGGUCUCUGGCGAUGUAUAGAACAAACACCUGCAAUACAAGAAAAUACUGCUGUGCUUAAUAAUAAACAAGAAGUUCCUGCCAGUUAAAGAUCUGAUGAUUCAUAAAUAAUGUAUUUUAAUACCUUCCAAAAGAGAAAAAAAGAGAAGAAUACUUCAUCGAGAGAUAUCGAUGCCGAAGUGGUUAUUCAUCUUCCGAUUACGUCCUACAUUGAAACCGAAUAACGUUGGUUAGAAAUCGAAAGUCUUCCGUCAUUAUUGUUACUACGAAUGCCAUAAGCACGUUCUGCGGUUUUAUGCAUGUUCCUAUCAAUGUUUUGUAUUAAAUGGAAAUAUCUAUCGUUUUUUUAUUAGAUAAUAUAUCACUUUUAUCCUCGUUUAAAGUUAAACAAAUGAAUUAAACGAAUGAAUUAAAACUAAAAAAAAAGAAAAAAAAAAAUGAAAGAAGGAACACGUACAAUAAAACUGGAAUUCGAAUUUUUGUAGCUUUUUUCGUUCAUCACCGACAAGCGACGGCACGAGAGAAAGAGGACCUAACCUAGUCUCGUGAUGCGCAAUUUGUGACGAAUUCUGUGUCAUGGCUGCGCAUGGUUCUCGACGGAAUCUCAACGGGUAAAGAAGAUCGACAACGAGCAACACGUGCUUUUACGAUUCGACGCAUCUAUAUUCAGAAUAUAUGAUGGUAUACAUAUGGCAGAAUUUAUGAUGACGAUGUGGAUAUGGUUAUUUGUCCAACAAUGAAAAACGAGCGAAAAAGUAUUUAUAAUAGGAUCCGUCCUCGUCCCUAAUAAGAUUGAUUCAUGCGCAUGUAGAUAAGUUCGCAGCAUUGGAGCAUACAGAAACAGCGGUUUUUAAAUUAAUAUUGCCAUAAAUGUAUAAUACGUUGUUUCUUGUUCCCUCUGAUUGUCAUUGGAAUUGGAAUUGAUAAUUCUCUCUUUUAAAUUUUUAAAAUUAUCAUAAUAGUACAUAUGCAUACAUACAUAUAUAUAUAUAUGAGUAUUUGAAUUCAACUAAUUGUCAUACGAUAAGAAAUUCCAUUUCUACUUUUUUAUAGGUAUAAUGCAAUAAAUAUAAUAGAAAUUUAGAAUAUAAAGAUUGGUAACUAUAUUUAUAGAAUACUUCUUAUUAUUUUACUCUGCUAAUAGAUAAUUGCUCUUACUCUAUUUUUGUAGCAUUUCAAUGUCAACAAUUCUAAAACUAGAGGAUAUUCAUUUAUGGCUGUUUUGAUUAAAUUACAUAUAAGGAUCUUGUUAUAAAUCUAACGAACGAAUCAACGGUAUGCUGCAUUCAAACAAAUGUGAAAUAAUGAAAUUCGAGAUAAUAUCGAGCUAUUUAGAAAAGUGAAUUUGACAAGUCCAUCAAUCUAUCUAUCUAUCAACUCGUUCGAUUAUUAUUCCAGUCAACGUCGACAUUUUAGCCACUCAUCAGAGACUUUCAAUUGAAUCGACGCGACGAAAAUACGAUGACGAUCGAAAUAUUUUGGGUCAACGUAGUCGAAAGGCAACGUUGGCGCAGGGAGCCACUGGUCAUGGAAGAACACCUGAAUCACUUUCUUCGCCUCUUUUCACUUUCAUAUUUCCGUUUCCAUUUUUUUUCUUUCUUUCGCACAGGUGUCAAUCGCCUUCCCUUUCGCAAUGUCUAGAGGCACAUUUCUGAUAAAGCGCCACAAUCUCCAGUUGUCAAUUAACGCUUAAUCCUGCUCUUCGUGCUUCAUAGAUUUCAAUUCGACGUGACAGACGUUCACGGCAAACAUUUCUGUAUAUUCGAACAUGCGAAAUAAUUUUUUAUAAUUGUAUAAAAUAUAGUGCACAGAGUACUAAACUAUUUAUUUUAUAGAUAAUAUGUUACUAAAAUUAGCAACUGAGAGUACCUGGCGUUAUUAUAAUAAAAAAACAAUAAGAAUUAGAAUGUAAUUAAUUUUUUUAAGUAGUUUAUAUAUAUAUUUUUAUACAUUUCAGUUAAGUUUCUAUAUAUAUUUUAUGUAACUAAAAAAUAUUAUAACAUAUUAUUAAUAAAAUAUAUUGUUUUAUAA